UAACACAACAAAUAUUUCCUGCUGAACAGGAUCCAUGAAAGCCGGCGCUUGUUGAAUCAUCAUUACACACAUGAAGAAAAAGCAGCGACCAAAAACACUUGUUUGUGAGCCGCAAAAUCAAGACAAAAUUUCUCACACGGCGUCUUGUUCUCUCACUGCCUGCCGCCUUUCAUUCUGCUCUCCAAAGCCAAAUGCAAAUGAAGCCAGGCUGCUGGAACUUUAAAAUUUUUAUUUAUGCCCGCCUACUGAGUUGCACAUGUUUAAUCUUUCGCCUUUUCUUUUUCUUCUGCUCUCAUUCUUGGGGAAUAUGCAUAAGUUUAUCAGGGCCUGCAUCCUGACUUUCAUGUCAGGCCUUGGCUUCUUGACGGAGACGCAGACAGACGCUGAAAGAGAUUGAGGAGUCAGGUAGAUGCAGAGUUAGCCCCGCAGGGUUGAAUCAGCGAGGUGACGCCCGUGUCUGCUAAUUCACCCUGACGUGCUCCUGAUGCCAGCCCUUCAUUAUAAAUAUUUUUAAAGGGGCUCCGACCUUCUGCGCGCCCCGUCCGGGACCGGAGCGCUGCGUGCGUGCACGAGCCUUUGAUUUCCGCUCCUCCGUUGGGUUUCGGGCUCGUCAUAAUGACAGCGACGCUUGACAGCUCCUCAUCACAUGCCUCUUGUCGUCUUUUGUGGGAAGUUUUGCAACAAUUAGCAUAAAUAUUUCAUCUCCUUCCGCCGCUGCGUCGUCCCUGCUGCUGCUGCUGCUGCUGCUGCUGAAACGGUAUCCGGCUGAAAGCCUGCCGUGUCCCAGAGAUGUCACCGAGCGCUGCCAGAAAACGACAAACCUUUAUGGAAAGCCAUCCGCUGGAAGUUUACCGAGGGAAUCGUCGCUCCCCGCCGCGCACGCAGCGUGCACCGCCGCUGAGUUAUGACAAAGUGGGAGAAAGUCAAGAAACUUUCAGGUAAAGUAGUGCAGCGUCUUCCACACAAAGUUUUAUCUCAGUCGAAUCUUUCAGUCUGCAGAUAAUGAAGGCGCAGGAACAUUAUAAGGGCACAUAGUACUAUGCCAAUUAAUCUCUGUCUGCUUGUGCCUGCAGCCAUCCAGCAGCAAAAUUAAAUAUAUACUUACAUCUGAUUUCAAAGGAGUUGUCAACCCUCUCUGGCUCCAGCGCCCACUGUGGAAGACUUUACUUAAGCUUGAGGAAGAGCAUCAUUAAAAUUAAAGUGAACGAAAAGGGAAGCAGAGAAAUUUCACCACUCUCUGCCUUCGGCUACUGCUCAGCACUUCAAAAACAAACUGCACGGGCAAGACUGAAUCCAGCGCCGCAGUCAAACGCUCGUCUUUCAUUAUUUGAUGUUGUUUGUAGGCGCUGAGUUGAUUAGCUUCCCCCCCCAAUGAAAGAUGCAGAUUACACACAGAGAGACAAUGAGCCAAAAACGCUCAGAAAGCACGAACCUCCGAACAGACUGUUGACUAUCAACAUGUUGGCUGGAAAUAAGACAAACUACAUACAUAUACAGUAUAUAUAAUAAGAAAGACACCCAGAUGUGAUGCUGCAUCAGGCCAGAGGUGCAACAGACCAGAAAUUUCAAGUUAUUAUCUUUUAAACUCAUCGUUUCUCUAUUUUUGACGGCUGGGUACGAGCCGGGUUCGGGUCUUAGUUUUCGGCAGGUGCAGAACUCUAGAUGGAUAAUUCUGCUUCAUGGUUGUUGGUAGGCGUUUCUCAAUAUUAGUCUAUUCUCCACCUCCAAAUUAUAAACGUUGUCAUUAUGAGGUUGGUGAAGUAUAACUGAGGUUUGCUCAAGCUGUCAGUUGCUAA